rnacentral:tRNA from 2 species
GUUCCCAUAGUUGAAGUACAACGAUGGCGUUUCAAGUCAUUAGUUCUGGUUAGAGUCCAGGUGGGAAUU